UCACACCUAUAUUUUAGGGAAAAUAGGACCAGCAUUUUAAUUUGGUUGCAGUUUGGUGAGCAGAUUGGACAAAGCACAGAAUCAAUGUACAGAUGUGGCAGUAAGGAGGCUAUUGCUAUAGUCCAGGAGAAACGUGACAGAAGCUUGGAAUUUGAACAUGACAAUUGAGAUAGGAUAAAUGGAUGGAUUAGAGAUGUGUUUUGAAGGUAGAUCCAACAAGCCCUGCUAAUAGUGGAGGACAGGGGGAGUUAGAGGUGUUAAGCAUUAAUUUAUGAAUUUUUGGUUUGCCGAACUAGAUAGAAAAUGGUGCCACUUAUUGAGAUGGAAAACAUAGAAAAGGAGCAGGUUUGGAGAGGAAUGUGAGGUUGGGGGUAGGAAAUCAUGAGUCAGUUUUGGACAUGCUGAGUUUGAGUUGUCUUUGAGAUACUCAAGUGGCAAUGUCAAGUAAGCAUUUGGACGUGUGGUCAUGGAGAUCAGAAAAGGUCUGAGAAACAAAGCAAUGGCCAAAUACUCAGAAAAUAAUUAUUUCAUCUCCACUGUGUUUCCCGUUUAAAUUUCGUAGUAUAUGCACUCAAAGGGCCCUUUAUACUGCUAUCCUCCAACUUCAGUGGCAAAAAGCAGAAAGGAAAAUUCUUGUAUUCAGGCUUGAGAAAGAUGGCAGGGUGGUAUGAUGUAAUUAUUGCCUUCUAAGAGCAACUUGGUUCUUAAUGGCCUUUUCUUUCCAUAUAGCUAUACUAACAAGAAGUUAAGAGCCUGGGCUCUGGGGUGAAGCGGACUUAGAUUUGACUCUUGAAUCUAUAACUUACUAGAUCGAUAAUCUUAAGAGAUUUUCUUAAACUGAGCCUCAGGUUCCUCAAUUAUAAGUUGAGGAUAAUAAUAACUACCACCUCAUAGGGUAUUAUGAGAAGCAAAUAAGUCCAUGUAGUGUGGCUGGCAUAGUACUUGGUGUGUAGUAUGGACUCAAUAAAUGUUAGUUUUUGCUAUAAUUAUCCUUGGAUUCCGGCAUUAGAGGAUUCUCAAGCUUAUAGAAUUUUGGCCAUAAGAAAUGCCAUGCCUGCAAAAUUAGAGAGUUAAGGAAACAGAAAACUUAUACUAUUUUCUAAUGUACUUCAUGCCCACACCCAAACUCACCGCCAACCCCAUGGAACUAUAAGGGUCUAAGUAUCCAGUGCUUCAUUUGACUAAUCUCAUGCCCGUUGAGAAGAAGUGGAAAACAGAAUGAAGACUGAGAGCUCUCAUUUUUCUUCCCUUGUGACUUACAUUUAACCUGGGGUUGUUUUUGUAUCACUAGAUGAGUUUUCCCUGAAAAGCUAGUCAAGAGUCCCUUUAUUGCACUGUUGCUACUGAACUGUGGUCCCUAAAGCCAAGAGAUUCAUGAAAAGGGAACUUCUUUCUGAAUCCAGUUGGAUUGAGCAAUUUAAUCCAUAUUUUCUUGAGUUACAUUGUGUAAAAUAAAUCCUAUACAAAUUUGAACAAUCAUACAAGUUCUACUUAGUUGAAAUAAAUUUGCCCAAGGUCAAUCUAGCUCAAAUAGAAUGUGAUCAAAACAGAGAGACAUAAAAUUACUUCAAACUGCAAUCAGGCCAGUUCAAAUUAUGUUAGGCUACUUCAGACCAGUUUAAAUUAAAAGGAAUCAAACUG
rnacentral:lncRNA from 1 species